rnacentral:rRNA from 1 species
GACGAACGCUGGCGGCGUGCUUAACACAUGCAAGUCGAACGAAGUGGCGAACGGGUGCGUAACGCGUAAUCAACCUGCCCUUCAGAGGGGGACAACAGUUGGAAACGACUGAUAAUACCGCAUACUGAAGGAGGGGAUUGCGUUCGAUUAGCUAGUUGGAGGGGUAACGCCCCACCAAGGCGAUAGUCAGUGGCCCGGCUGAGAGAAGUAACGGCCCCACUGGGCAUGGAACACGGCCCAGACUCCUACGGGGUGCAGCAGUGGGGAAUCUUCCGCAAUGGACGAAAGUCUGACGGAGCAACGCCGCGUGAGGGAUGACGGCCUUCGGGUUGUAAAGCUCUGGUAAGCGGGACGCGGUACCGGAAUAGAAAGCCACGGCUAACUACGUGCCAGCAGCCGCGGUAAUAC